CUUACGCAGAAAGCGUUGAAAUUCCAUUACAAAAAAAAUUAAAACACCAGACAAAAUUACAAAUUGCAUUAUCCGGUCAAUAAUCCCGGGAACGUGCGAUGUGAUUGGUGCAUUAAAAUAAUAAAAAAUUGAUUUUAUCUCUGACUCUCUAUGCAACUAUUUUCCACUCUAUUAUUUGGACCUCCUAAUUACGCCUCGAGAUCUAACACCGUGCAAUUUUUUUCAAGAAUUCACACAUGCUCUCCUGUAAUAGAAGGAAGAAGACUCCUGCCCUCACUAGUGUACAGUUACAACGUGUCUACCCCUUGAGAUUUCAGAUGACUUAGCAUUGUCAAACUACAUGAACAUACCUUGCGAAUGCGUACGAUUGUUCGACAUCUGCAGAAUCUAUUUUUUCAUCGACUGAAGUAUUUUCUUUUCUCUGGGUAAGAGACCGAGAGACAAGAAGUACCUUUGGAGAAUAAAGUCGAGGGUCCAAGGGGCGACUAAAGACGAAUAAUGAAUGCCGACACAGAAGUGGCAAGUAAGUGCACGCCCGAGUGAUUGAGGGAUAAUUAAAGAGGAUUAGGGAAAAGGGAACGGAAGUGAAGUGGAGAGGUACAAGCUACGAGGAAUAGGAUCACCCAAGAUUGCUUACUGCUGAUGAUGAUAAUGAAAUCUCACAGAUUAAAACUUCAAUUUCUUCAGUCCUUGGGGGCAACAGUAAAGGCGAUAGUUGUCACGAAGUAAUCAAUUAUCCCAAAGUUCUCCAGCGUCAAGACACAGAUGUCUUGCUUUGUUGUUUAUAAUUCUCCUUCGCAUAGGAAGUAUGCGUCUCUCAACUAAUUAAGGGUAAAACGUGAGCUAUAUCAGGAAGCAAACGAGACGAGUUUCAAGGCAAAUCUAAGGGAGAACCUCGAUAUUGAGCGUCACAGUGAGAAGCAUUUCCAUCCCCUGAGAAUGUUCGUGUCUUGUGCGAUCCAAAGAAUGCCUCUGGGAAUGAUGCAAAUUCCGUGGACGUCUUAUCUAACACCGGAUAUUCAACGCUAGAAAACGACACUCGUCAUGUACAACCGGCAAUUCUACCUCAAUUUCGUGUCUGCCAUUGUUUAGGCAAUAGAUCUCUUUCGGGAUUUCCGCAAUUUUCAAGUAACAAAAUUAACGUAUCUGCUCUUACCCCGGUGGAAAAUCGACAGUUCAUUUAGGUCGACUUUACCUGAAUCUUCGAUAUUUCCCCCAGUUGUCCCUCAUGUCGCACUGGAAACUGAUAAUUUUUUUUUCGUUAAAUUAUUUGAACUCGACUGUUGUUUGGCUGACGAGCUGCCAUUUUGAAUGAGAAACUUAGAAAACUAUGUUGGGAACUUGGACAAUUAUAUUUGAAAUUUCGAACGAAAAAGCUUGAAAUUGUUGAGAAUGAUGGAGUUGCAUAAAAUUUCAUUAACUUUCUUCAUUAACAAUUCACUUAAUUUUUAAAAUAUUCAACUAAUUAUCAAUUUUCAAGCCCCCGCGGUACCGAAAAAUCCUGUCAACAUCUUUUCUGAAUUUUCAAUUCACAGUCAGUUUGCCUAUUUAAACUGUCAUUAAAAACCGUGUCCGUUAACGUUGUCAAUUGACGUUGAAUUCAACCUCAAAAUAAUGAAAAAUAAAAUGACAUUGGAACUGGAAUUCCAAGAGCUUUCCAGCAGUCACAGGUAUUCCAAUGACAAUUCCCUGAGACUCCAACAAGCUCCAAAUAUUCGACCUGCCAUCAUCCCCUUUUUGACUAAAUUUUGAUUUUCCCUCGAAUAUCACAAAUGAAUUAUCUCCCUUCACCACCGCAAUUCCUCACAAUUGAUUCCAAUCUCAUCGUCACCCCGACAGUCAUAUUUUCAUUCCACCAAUUUCAUUAAAAACAAAAUUCAAGAAACCUUCACUCACCCUGACGUAUCACGAAAAUUAAUCAAAUCCCAAGUUGACUGGAAAUUAUUGCCCACUCACCCAUUAUUUAUGGAUUUCCCUUGACAGAAUAAGGGAAUGAAACAAACUGGUGCAUCACGACGCUAUA